rnacentral:rRNA from 1 species
GAGCUGUCCUUAGUACGAGAGGACCGGGAUGGACAUACCUCUGGUGUACCAGUUGUCGUGCCAACGGCAUAGCUGGGUAGCUAUGUGUGGACGGGAUAAGUGCUGAAAGCAUCUAAGCAUGAAGCCCCCCUCAAGAUGAGAUUUCCCAACUUCGGUUAUAAGAUCCCUCAAAGAUGAUGAGGUUAAUAGGUUCGAGGUGGAAGCAUGGUGACAUGUGGAGCUGACGAAUACUAAUCGAUCGAAGACUUAAUCAAAA